CAAACGGUGGUAUUUACCACCAUUUAAAAAAAAAAAAAAAAGAAA
rfam:Pterocles gutturalis contig5364, whole genome shotgun sequence.